GACGAACGCUGGCGGCGUGCCUAAUACAUGCAAGUAGAACGCACAGUUUAUACCUUAGCUUGCUACACCAUAGACUGUGAGUUGCGAACGGGUUAGUAACGCGUAGGUAACCUGCCUGGUAGCGGGGGAUAACUAUUGGAAACGAUAGCUAAUACCGCAUAAUAUUAAUUAUUGCAUGAUAAUUAAUUGAAAGUUGCAAUUGCACCACUACCAGAUGGACCUGCGUUGUAUUAGCUAGUAGGGGAGGUAACGGCUCACCUAGGCGACGAUACAUAGCCGACCUGAGAGGGUGAUCGGCCACACUGGGACUGAGACACGGCCAAGACUCCUACGGGAGGCAGCAGGAGGGAAUCUUCGGGAAUGGACGAAAGUCUGAACGAGCAACGCCGGGUGAGUGAAGAAGGGUGUCGGAUCGUAAAGCUCUGUUGUAAGAGAAGAACGGGUGUGAGAGUGGAAAGUGCACACUGUGACGGUAGCUGACCAGAAAGGGACGGCUAACUACGUG
rnacentral:rRNA from 1 species